ACCCCCGUGGUGUAAUGGUAAACACGCUUGCUCAUGAAGCAAGAGAUUGGGGUUCGAAUCCCCGCGGAGGCA